rnacentral:rRNA from 1 species
UACGGAGGGUGCAAGCGUUACCCGGAAUCACUGGGCGUAAAGGGCGCGUAGGCGGCUCAUGAAGGCUGUGGUGAAAGUCCGGGGCUCAACCUCGGAUCGGCCGUGGCGACUCGUGGGCUGGAGCACUGUAGAGGCGGGUGGAAUUCCGGGUGUAGCGGUGGAAUGCGUAGAGAUCCGGAAGAACACCAGUGGCGAAGGCGGCCCGCUGGGCAGUGGCUGACGCUGAGGCGCGACAGCGUGGGGAGCAAACGA